rnacentral:rRNA from 1 species
CUUGGUGUUACUGCGAAGGGGGGACGGAGAAGGCUAUGUUGGCCGGGCGACGGUUGUCCCGGUUUAAGCGUGUAGGCUGGUUUUCCAGGCAAAUCCGGAAAAUCAAGGCUGAGGCGUGAUGACGAGGCACUACGGUGCUGAAGCAACAAAUGCCCUGCUUCCAGGAAAAGCCUCUAAGCAUCAGGUAACAUCAAAUCGUACCCCAAACCGACACAGGUGGUCAGGUAGAGAAUACCAAGGCGCUUGAGAGAACUCGGGUGAAGGAACUAGGCAAAAUGGUGCCGUAACUUCGGGAGAAGGCACGCUGAUAUGUAGGUGAAGCGACUUGCUCGUGGAGCUGAAAUCAGUCGAAGAUACCAGCUGGCUGCAACUGUUUAUUAAAAACACAGCACUGUGCAAACACGAAAGUGGACGUAUACGGUGUGACGCCUGCCCGGUGCCGGAAGGUUAAUUGAUGGGGUUAGCGGUAACGCGAAGCUCUUGAUCGAAGCCCCGGUAAACGGCGGCCGUAACUAUAACGGUCCUAAGGUAGCGAAAUUCCUUGUCGGGUAAGUUCCGACCUGCACGAAUGGCGUAAUGAUGGCCAGGCUGUCUCCACCCGAGACUCAGUGAAAUUGAACUCGCUGUGAAGAUGCAGUGUACCCGCGGCAAGACGGAAAGACCCCGUGAACCUUUACUAUAGCUUGACACUGAACAUUGAGCCUUGAUGUGUAGGAUAGGUGGGAGGCUUUGAAGUGUGGACGCCAGUCUGCAUGGAGCCGACCUUGAAAUACCACCCUUUAAUGUUUGAUGUUCUAACGUUGGCCCGUGAUCCGGGUUGCGGACAGUGUCUGGUGGGUAGUUUGACUGGGGCGGUCUCCUCCUAAAGAGUAACGGAGGAGCACGAAGGUUGGCUAAUCCUGGUCGGACAUCAGGAGGUUAGUGCAAUGGCAUAAGCCAGCUUGACUGCGAGCGUGACGGCGCGAGCAGGUGCGAAAGCAGGUCAUAGUGAUCCGGUGGUUCUGAAUGGAAGGGCCAUCGCUCAACGGAUAAAAGGUACUCCGGGGAUAACAGGCUGAUACCGCCCAAGAGUUCAUAUCGACGGCGGUGUUUGGCACCUCGAUGUCGGCUCAUCACAUCCUGGGGCUGAAGUAGGUCCCAAGGGUAUGGCUGUUCGCCAUUUAAAGUGGUACGCGAGCUGGGUUUAGAACGUCGUGAGACAGUUCGGUCCCUAUCUGCCGUGGGCGCUGGAGAACUGAGGGGGGCUGCUCCUAGUACGAGAGGACCGGAGUGGACGCAUCACUGGUGUUCGGGUUGUCAUGCCAAUGGCACUGCCCGGUAGCUAAAUGCGGAAGAGAUAAGUGCUGAAAGCAUCUAAGCACGAAACUUGCCCCGAGAUGAGUUCUCCCUGACUCCCUGAGAGUCCUGAAGGAACGUUGAAGACGACGACGUUGAUAGGCCGGGUGUGUAAGCGCAGCGAUGCGUUGAGCUAACCGGUACUAAUGAACCGUGAGGCUUAACC